rnacentral:rRNA from 1 species
AACCUACACAGGUGGUCAGGUAGAGAAUACCAAGGCGCUUGAGAGAACUCGGGUGAAGGAACUAGGCAAAAUGGUGCCGUAACUUCGGGAGAAGGCACGCUGACACGUAGGUGAAGUGAUUUACUCACGGAGCUGAAGUCAGUCGAAGAUACCAGCUGGCUGCAACUGUUUAUUAAAAACACAGCACUGUGCAAACACGAAAGUGGACGUAUACGGUGUGACGCCUGCCCGGUGCCGGAAGGUUAAUUGAUGGGG